CUUCACAGAUGGUGCGUACGUGUCUAGUCACUUGAGUGACCUCUGUGUCGGCAACUUCAUCUCCUGGUCAUUUGACAACACAGUUGUUCUUCUCCGUUAUACGAUUACGGCAUGGCGUAAAUGAGCAGCAGUAAAAAGUCUGCUUGACUGGAUUCUGUUUCAGCUGCAUAUAAUGAGAGGACCAUUUCAAUGCAGGGGCGAGAAGGUAGCAAGAAUAAGUGCAAGAAGUACAAUAGACUAGCAGGUGGUAGACUGGAGAGCUCAUUCCACCACUGAGAAGCCUGAAGAGUAAACCAGUGACAUCUCAUUUCAGGAAAAAAUUCCACUGUUACACGAUCAUCAGCAAAAUACAACCCAAGCGUGCAAAAAUACACCCCAGCACAACGCUUCCACCAUUGUCGCAAUGACACGCGCCUGCAUUCUGUUAUUUCUAGUAGAAUAGGAAGUAAUACUUCAUAAUGAGGCAUGGCAGAGCAAAUCUCCCACAGAAACACAGAACACAGUUGUAUUAUUAAUCAAUGUUGUGACACUAAUGGAGUAGAUUGAAAAUGAUGGGCGCACAAAUAUACAGUGUAAUCAGCUGUGAUCAUUU